rnacentral:rRNA from 1 species
UCCGUAGGUGAACCUGCGGAAGGUUCAUUA